AGGACUAUCUGAAAGGCUUUGACAGGAGUGCCUCUUUAGUGAUUGAGGCAUCUUUUGCUCUGUCUGACCAAUUUUUUAGCACAAGAUUUUCUUCUCAGUUAAGACAAAAAAAAAAAAAAAAAAAAAAGAUGUCUACCCAAAGACUGUCUGUGCUUUCUCCCCUUCUGCUCUUCUGCUUCUUCAGAGAGACUUUCUCCAUUUGUGACGGGACAACGUGGACAAAGGUCGGAUGGGAGAUUUUUCCAGAGGAAGUGCACUACCUGAAAGUUAAGGCCCCCCCAUCCAGCUGCCUACCUUAUCCUCUGGACACACUCUGCUGCAAUUUUGCUAACAUGGACCUCUUACAGAGCGCCUUACACCUCACUUACAUCUUAGUACAAGCUCUCUGCUUAAUCCUGUUUGCUUUAUCUGUGCAUUACCUAUGGAUGAAAUGGACAAGACACCAAAAAAAGCUGAAAAAGCAAGCUUCCUUAGAGAAACACGCUAAUGGCCUAGACCUGAGCCCAUCCAUCCAUGACAUUGAACAAAUCCUCUGCAGACUACUGGCCACAACAUCAAUGAUGACCAAGUUCCUGAAGCACGUGUCUCACCACUCUUCUGUCAAGAAAGCUAAGCAACAACGUAAAUUAAGGAAGAAGAAGAGUAAGGGAGAAGAGGAGCAGAAGAUCACUGCUAUCCCUAAGCUCGUGCAAAUGUAGCUUGGUCAAGUGCGGAGAGGACAAAAGCUCGUGCAAAUGUAGCUUGGUCAAGUGCGGAGUAUAAAAGAAAUCUAUUGCAGGGACUGUCUGAGGACACAAAGGUUUCUUUGGGGGCUUGCUUUUUUUUUUUUUUUUUUUUUUGCCACAAUCAUUACAGAAAAAUUCUCAGACGAGCUCUGGGUUUCCGCUCAACUGAAAACGAAUCCACUCUUUCUAACGUGGCUCCCAGAAUAAACUGAGAACACCUUAACUGGAA
rnacentral:lncRNA from 1 species